UAGCUCAACUGGUAGAGCAUGGCAUUAACACUGCCUGGGUCAGGGUUUUUAUUCCCACUGUAGCCACCCA